AAUGGGUUCAUAUUCGAUUGGCUGCACUUAGCUAUAAAUCCUGAGGAGGAGAAGAAGAAAGACAUCAGAAAGUAAUUGGACUAGAAGAACCUUAGUUUGGAAGCAAAACACAGAAUCCAGUAGAGACGGGGUUUCACCGCGUUAGCCAGGAUGGUCUCGAUCUGACCUCGUAAUCCGCCCAACCCAGCCUCCCAAAGUGCUGGGAUUACAGGCUUGAGCCACUGCACGCAGCGAGAAAGCACCUUUUAAUCUCUACCACUGCCAAGUACGUGAGUAGACUGGAAAGACCAUGGGCUUCAGAAUCAAGUGGCCAUGGAUAAAAAUUGUGUCUGAGAGACUUUCAAGGAGUUACUUAGCCAUUUUGAGCUUUUUGCUCCGUGAUUAGUAUAGCAGUGAUAAUAAUAUCAACCUUACAAUAUUACGUUAUGGAAUUAAAUGUCUGUGGAAGUGUCUUCCUCACAGUAAUUGCUCAAUAAUGAUUCAUGUCCUCCCUUCCCUUCUUAAUUCAGAUUUAUUUACAUAUGCUCAAUAGAGCAAUAAAUAUUUGUGAUUC
ensembl:lncRNA novel transcript, antisense to FAR2